AAACCAGCACCUCAAGUGGUCAGGAGGAUUAUUGGGCCUAAAGCAUCCGUAGCCUGCUCUGUAAGUUUCCGGUUAAAUUCAUUAGCUCAACUAAUGGCCUGCCGGAAAUACUGCAGAACUAGGAAGUGGGAGAGGUAGACGGUACUCGGUAGGAAGGGGUAAAAUCCUUUGAUCUAUUGAUGACCACCUGUGGCGAAGGCGGUCUACCAGAACACGUCCGACGGUGAGGGAUGAAAGCUGGGGGAGCAAACCGGAUUAGAAACCCGAGUAGUCC
rnacentral:rRNA from 1 species